rnacentral:tmRNA from 1 species
GGGGGUGUAAUGGUUUCGACAGGUAUCUGACGUAAUGAACUGCAGUGGUAUUGUAGACCAUAAUGCAUCUAGGCUUUUUUAAACGCAAACUUAGAUAAAAAAGAAGAUCUAUCAUUAGAAAUGAUGAUGAGAUCAAAAUACUCUUCAAAUCUAGCUUUCGCUUAAUUGAAAACUAGUGAUUCAAUAAUUUUGCUCAAGUUAUUGAAUCGGUUUAGAGCUUGGCAUUAGCGUGUUCAGUUAAACUAAUGUGACACUUUGACUGACUUAUGUAAUGAAGUUUGAGAAUUUAAUAAUUACAAUUAAGUAUAUAAAAUUUUAUAAACUGUAGACGUUCAUUAAAUAGGGUGCGUGGACCGGGGUUCAAUUCCCCGCAUCUCCACCA